CUGAGUUACUACUCUCAACCCUUGUGAACAUUACCUAUGUUGCUUCGGCAGGGUUUCCCUGGGAGGGAAUUUUAGCCGUCAGGUAGCCUGCCAGAGGCUUUUAGAACUCUUUUCAGUAAGCAUUCUGAGGAAAUUCUAAGAAAUCA
rnacentral:misc_RNA from 1 species